CUGAGCCAUAGUGGAGGGGGCGGACCCUUGGAGGACUCGAAGGGCAGGGUGGGCAUCCUUUCAUCUCCCUCCCAGAUGGAAACCUGGAACCCAGACCCUCAGCAUCCCAGGGCUGGGAGGAUGGACCGUAUCGGUAGGCUGUGACCCUGAGCGAUGUGGUCCCGACCAUGUUCUGCUGGUGGCUUGGUCAGGUCGGGCUCUCAGGAGAAUACUGCAGGCGAGACGGCUUGUGGGUGCCCAGCACGGCCCAGCAUGUCUGUGGGGAGGACGGAAAGCCAGCCUUGGAGCCUGAGGAUCUCAGAGCACUGCCCACGCAGCAGAAACUGGAAGAGUGUAUCUUGCACAAGGCCAGCGCGGAGAAUAAAAUUCCCAUCGGAGAGGUGGCCUCCCGGUACCAGGAGGAAGGGGGACUUUCUUAUCACCAGGGGCAGGGAACUGGGGGUCAAGAAAUCUG